GCCGCCAUGGUGAAAUUGGUAGACACGCUGCUCUUAGGAAGCAGUGCUC
rnacentral:tRNA from 1 species